CCUGUGGAACCAGCUGGAUCGGGGGAUCAGGCAGAGGAUGGGACCCAGCUGUGGGAGAGCCAGAGGGGGAGAGGAAAUGAGAGUGGCCAGGGCCUUGCUCCUUCCCCUGGGGAGGGGAGCUGGGGCAGAUGGGGAGUCAGUGGGAGGGCACCGAGGUGCGGCCUUGGCGGGGAGGCCCCGGAGCAGAGGCCACCGUCACUGAAGCUGCCACAGCAGCACUGGUACCCAGCAACAAGGGAAAAAAGUCUGUACCAUGACCCUGCUGCAGAGAAGAGCCACUGCAUACCGUGACCCACACAUGGUGGGUUGCUCUCCUCAACGCUUCCACCCAGAGGGAUUACUGUGACAGUCCCGGCCGAGCUCAGCUGCAGGGGGCAGAGAGAGCUGUGGAGCCAGGGCAGCGCUCCUUCACUUGGCCUGUGCCAAAGAAAGCUUGGGACCCCACCGGAGCUGCCGUUAGUCCACCUGGAUAGCUUCUGAAAUGGUGCCCGAAGCUUGGACAUGAAGAGCUAAUCAUAAUACAGAAGGGAAGCCCUGCCAGACUUUCUGCAAAUUUGUGUUAUUUUUUUUUUCCCCUAAACGAAAUGUUGAUGUUCAUCCUCAUAGGAAUUGCAGCGUGGGUCUGGCUGUGUCCAGCUGCCUUCCCUGCGUGCCUCGCACGCUGCGCCUCGCCUGGGCGCGCAGCACCUUGGCUCCAUCAGCCGGGGCUGCGAUUUUCUUUCUGACAGACUAUGCAGCUACAUUAAUAAAGCUGCACUUUGUUAUGGCUUAUUUUGUUUGUUAGGCAUCUGGAACAAAAUAAAUCAGCAAAGGCUUAGUUUUGCCAGAACGAAUCGCAGUUGC